CUUGUACUCCCUCUGUCCGAAAAUACUUGUCAUUGAAAUGGAUGUAUCUAGAUGUAUUGUAGUUCUAGACACAUCCAUUUUGAUGACAAGUAAUUCCGGAUGGAGGGAGUACUUG
rnacentral:pre_miRNA from 1 species